rnacentral:RNase_P_RNA from 1 species
AGAGUUGGCGAGAUGGUUGCAGGAAUGUUUCAUACGGAACUAACCUGAGGAAAGUCCGGACUCCCCAAAGACCAAACUUGCUGGGUAACACCCAGUGCGCGUGAGCGUGAGGAGAGUGCCACAGAAAAAUACCGCCUUUUGAAGGAUGAAGGAUGAGCGAAGAAGGAUGAAUCUUAGGUUCUGCCUUCUUCCCUCUACCUUUAAAGGGUAAGGGUGCAAAGGUGCGGUAAGAGCGCACCAGCAGCAUCGAGAGGUGCUGGCUCGGUAAACCCCGGUUGGGAGCAAGGGCGGAGGGGCAAGGGUUGGUCUUUUUCCCGUCCCGCUUAUGGUUGAACCGCGUGAGGAGUCAGGUAACUGACUUCCCAGAUAGAUAACCAUCCUUCAGAACAGAAUCCGGCUUACGUCCGACUCUCUAC